GAUUUUGUUCAUGAUAAGCAAUAAUCCAGUGGCAGCAGAGAAUAAAAGAGCAGAGGACAGUUUCAUAGCCAUAAGUGGUGCACCUUCCCCGUUUGUGACAGCUGCAACACCAGACAUGGUUGUAGCAGUGAGAGUAAUCAUAUUUAUUGAGUUUAAUAGAAGAUUAUUCCAGUUGUUACGUUGUUCGCCAAUGUUGUGAUGCAUUUCUAUUCUGUCUGAUACAGCUUCCAAGACUGCAUAGAGUUGAACUGUAGCAUUANNNNNNNNNNNNNNNNNNNNNNNNNNNNNNNNNNNNNNNNNNNNNNNNNNNNNNNNNNNNNNNNNNNNNNNNNNNNNNNNNNNNNNNNNNNNNNNNNNNNNNNNNNNNNNNNNNNNNNNUCAUUGUUUUGUAGUUUUAAUUCUUGAUCAACAACUUGUUUUCUGGUUUGAAUAGUUGGCAAUGAAAUAUUUGGGAGUUUUGGAAGAUUAAUUGCAGCGUUAAUUACUCUCUUUGAAGAUGAUAAAGAACAAGAAGUUAGAACUGAAGUUUGUAAUAUUGAAGCCAUGAUAUAUACAAAUUAAUAAUAUUUGAAGGUGUUUGCUUUGUGUUAAUUUAGGAUAGUGUAUAGUUGGGGAAAUAAAAAGGUUUUGGUUUUUUGUUGUAAUAUUGUUUGAAUGUUUUAUAUUUUGUAAGGUGGUAUGCAAUAUUUAUAUGCCAAAGAGAAUGGGAAGGGGUCAAAAUCAAAUAAGGAAACUAUGAUUGACCAAUUGAAUUAAUUAAAAAUUGACAUAGUCUCUAUUCAAAAUUCCAAGCCUUGUGUAUGUUGGGUGGUCUCAACAUGCAACGUUGUACAAAUAAAACCACAAUUAAGGCUGCGUUACAUGCAAGAAUUAUGAAACUAAGUAGUAGCUUGGUAAUUAGCAUGCAACAAAGGCUAUGGACUUUUUCUCUAUUUCAUUUCAUUCACUAAUUUUUUACUUUUCAUUUGUCAUUAUAUAAGCUAUAUAUGGCUAGUGCUCCAUUAGUUUUAGAAAUGUCUUUGGGUUUGGUCAUACCAUUUGUCAAUAUAUAAGCCAUCUUCAGUAUUUUACUUUUAAAAAUUUGAAUAUUCUUCUAUGUGGAAUUUUGUUUUGGUAGUCAAAACAAUUAAGAUGCACUCUCAACUAAUGUUCCAUAAUUAAACUCUGAAUCAAAUAGAGAAUCAAGUAUCUACCAUUUAUGUUACAUCGUGUUGGUUUAGUUUUUUGGUUGACCUUUUAUUAUUUUAAUUUAAUAUUUGAAGAAUGAGAAAAUAUAAUUUCAAAUCAAUAUAGAUAUAAAAGGAUUGACUAAAUCUACCAAAAAAAAUAUUGAAUAAUAAAUAAAUGUUUUGGAAUGGAAACAAGCAUGUCAACGUAAAAUGUCUAAAGAGGAUGGAUACCAACCUUAAAGCAACUACUAUCAAAUAAAGAUUUGGGGUUGAAUUAUUAUAGAAAAGAAAUGUUCAGGGGAAUUGAGUUGUGUUCUUAUGACCAAAGAAUAUUUGUGAAACAGACAUAGACAUAUUAGAGUUUGUUUUUUCGUGAGCAUUUUUUUUUUUUUAUUAUUUCUUUAACUAACAGCUAAAUAUACCACUUGUAAAUCCAAAAGAGUGGUUGAAAUAGAUCAUGAUAUGUAUUAUUUUAUAUUUUUUGAAGGAAUGUGUAUUAUUUUAUUGUAUACUUAAUAUAAGGUACAUGUGAUAUAAUAUAUAUCUAUAGGUAAAUAACAAAACUACCUUAUAAAAAAAUUGUUAAAAAAAAAAAUUGAAAUUCAGAUUUUAAUUAUUUUUUAUUUUUAAUAUUUUAAUUUCAUCUGAUUGUUAAUUUUCUAGAUUAUAUAGUAUGACAAAACAAAUUAGAAGAGAUAAAAUCAAAGGAGUACCAAAUGACAUUACAUUUGUUUAAAGAUAAAAUGGGCGGACACUAAUAUUUUCAAGAUAAAAUCAUACAACAUUUGUUUAAAGUUAAUCGUAAAGAAUAAUAUUUUUAAUUUUCAAUUUUAUAUUAAUUUUAUAAUAUAUGUUUAUAGGAGUAUUUGAUUUGAUUAUUUUUUGAAAACUUAUAUUUUAUAUGAAAAAAUUAGUAAAUUAUUUCAUUAUUUAUCCUAUCAUGUUUGUUUCUAAUCUAGUCUCUAUCUACGAUAACAUUUUAAAAAACAAGAGCGGUAGGAUAUUCUAAGGUUCGUGAAUAUCUUAUCAUACCAUAUUGAUUCAUCGAAUAAUGGAUUUAAAUAAGAUAUCUGAUAUGUAACUUAUCUUAUACCGUGACUUUUAUCCUUAGCCAUAAAAAAAUGUGAUGCAAUUUUAUUAACUGACCCCACUACUUACUAACCAACUGCCAAUCUCGUAUCACGAGGAGUUAGAUCGAUUUAUGAAAAUAAAUAAAUUUAAAAAAUAAAAAAUAUAUUUUCUAAUGUACAACUUAUAUGAAAAUUUUUAAAAAUUAUAAGAUGUAUUCAAAGUUAAUAUUGUCAAACAAAUAUAAAAGGUCUAAUUUUUACUUCUCAAGUUUUGGUCAUCAUUGUUUCAUAGAGUUAAAAUCAUUGAUUUUCAUUGCAAGUAAAUUUUUUAGCAAUUUAAUUUUCAAGGAUAAUACUAGCCUAUAAAUGAGGAAAUAAAUAUACUAUUUCAAGGAUAUAAUAAAAGAUGAGCACCUUGAGGCUUGCGAUGAAAUGACAAGACUAAAGCAAUUUUGGAAUUGCAAAGAAAGAAAAUAUAUAAUGAAAUUGCAAACGUAUGUGGAUGAGUUUACGAUGAAAUUGCAAGUGGUGAAUUGUUGAUAGUGCACAAACAAAAUUGCGGAUAAUUAAUCAAAACAAUUGAGCAACAUUGCAAUGAGGAGAACUCAUAAACUUGGUUCUGGUUAAGGAUUUUUUUUUUUUUUUUUAAAUUUUCGACAAAUUUUUUUUUUUUUUUUUUCUGUUGUUAAGGAGAACAUUAUACCCUAUGCCCCCACAUUUGUACUUUCACCCUUACAAAUCAUUUAUAAUUCCAAUUUUAUCCUUUUUUUUGACAUCAAUUCACCCGUACAUGACAUUAUAUGUUUCAAACAACUUCUUUAAAUAUUUUACCGAAUAACUAUCAAAUAUGUUUCCGGUUUGUUUUAAUUUUAAAAAAUUCAUAUUACCUUUCAAAAAAUUCAAACCGGAAAACAACAAUAAAGUUAUCCAUUUGUUGUUGAUUCUCGUAAAACUAAGCAUGAUGUUUCUAGAAUUGGUACCUGCGUUCUUUAUGAUGAUUUCCAUGUUGAUUGUUUACAAACACAAUGUUUCUGGAAUUCUUUCCAAUCAUUUUAGAAAACAAUUAAUAAUAAAAAAACAUUAUUUUUAACAAUUUAAUAAAAAAAAAUUAUCGUUUCAGAAUUCUUUAUAGACGUUUCCCGUAAACGCAUAAACACAAACUAGAAUCGUUGCAAAAUCGUAGAACCGUCGCAAAAUUGUGUCAAAAUUGCAGCAAAGUUGUACCAAAUCCGAACCUGAAUCGUGAUAUGCGUUUUCCGCUAACGACAUCUAAACUGCAAUCUUUGUUAACCCUAUCCUAAACAGAAACACAUAUCCAUGUUUUUGAAUGCCAUAGGGGAUGUUUACGACAGUAAAACGCAAACUAGAAGAAUAAAAUUAAUGAUUCUAGAACUCACUUUCGUUGACUUGAAAAUCAGUGAUUCACUGAUUUUUGGGAGAAAGUUUCUAUAAGGGAUGAAUAUUGUUGUUGGGGUGCAACCUAAGUUUGUUUUUCGGAAAGGGAGAAGUUGUCUGGUAUAGAAUUGUUGGGGUAACCAAGUUGCUUGGGCUCCAGUGGCAAGGAGCUCCUUCCAAGGACGUACCCGGAGAAUAUCGGGUUCGAUUCCCAGGGGGAACAACACUUGGCCAGUGCGCAUGCCUCUACGCACGAGCCGGAUUAGUCGCCCACUUUUGGGGGGUCGGAAACCGGUGCGAAAGCCAAAAAAAACCUGAAACUUUGGGGUGAAGGGCUAGAUAGACAAAAAAAAAUCUGAAGUAGUUUGAGGGUAAAAUGGAUAAUUUAUGUAAAAUUUUAGGGUGAGAGUAUAAUUGUAGGGGUAUGGCGUAUAAUUUCAUGUUAAGGAUGGUGCAAUUAAACUUCGAAACAAGUGUUUAGGCCCAAUAUAUUUGGUUAGAAAAAUGUCCAAUAGCUACAAUUUCAUAUUAAAAAAACAGAGAAAAAAAAUACAUAAUAACAUAGUAGUAUAAAAAAAAUUGAAAAGUUUGAGAGGACCAUUGUCACUUGUUAGUGAGUGUUGGUCUCCCUUUUAGCUACGUCCUUGAUUAGAUAGUAACAACCUUAAUUUUAAGAAAACAUAUAAUCAUCUUUAAAAAAAAAAAAACAUAUAAUCAAUUUAAAUAUUCGGGAAAUCAUAACAUUCAGAUCUAAUAAAACAUAUAAUCAAUUUAAGAAAACAUAUAAUCAAUUUACGUACACACUGAGGCUUUGUUUGAGAGUUUGGAAGGGGAGGGAAGGGAGGGGAGGGUUUUGGGGGGUUGGAAAUAUAUAGAAAAAUGGACAAAAAAUUCACAUUUUUUGAAAGAACAGGUUUUUUAGAGAAUGAUAAAUUAAUACUUAUGAUUAAUAUACUUUUAAUUUUAAGAAUAUUAUAACAACAUAGAUUGAAUUUGAAAAAUUCAUAUAAACCUUCCAUAACCCCCCAAAACCCACCCCCAAUACAAUUUUUGAGUUCCCCCAAAUGAGGGGAAUUUUUUAUUAUAAGUAAAAAAUUAACCUCCAAAGCCCUCUCCUCCCAAUGUCUUCUAUUUCCUCAACUUGCUCCUUCAUUUUUUUCCAAAACCCUCCCCUCCCCUCCAAACUCCCAAACAAAGCCUAAAAAAAAAUUGAAAUUUAGCUUCAAACAUUUUAGCGUCAAACCAUUUAUGAUGUUAAUAGCAUAGUAUCUAUUUAGCAUCCACUAAAUCUAACACAAAUGUCUCUUUCUUUCUUUUUUUACGCAAAUUCAUAAACUAUGAUCGUUAAAGCUAAUUAUUUCUAAUGUCUACUAAAUUUGGACGCUAAUUUUCCUAUCGUUUAAAUAGUGUCUAUUAAUUGUUAAGCUAAAAUAUUUUUACCCAAAUUUUUUAACACUUCUAUUUUCACAUAUUCCUUAAUUUUUCCACCAUUAUUUGUACAUUUCCCUCAUUCUUACUAAAAAAAUCUCAACUUUACUCCGACUCAAGCUAAAUUGGGGAAGAAAAGAUAUAUAUCAUGAAUUCUCCUACUCAAUUACAUUAUAUAUGAAGUUAAAAAUUAUAUACAGAAUCAGAUCGCUGUAAUCUAUAUUUACAUUUGUUUUCUAUGUUAUGAAAGAAUUAAAGAAUGUCUAUUGUCUUGAAGAAAUAAUAUCUCAGAAGAGCUUGCUGGCAAAUUCAUCUAUUUCGAUACUUUCCAUGCGACAAGAAGCUGAUUUUGAGGCAAGUUCCCUCAGCUCUGUGACACUUCUUCCCAAUCGCAAAGCCAUUUUCAAUUCAAAUAGCUCUCCAUUUUCUCUUUUCUCUAAAUCUUUCUCUCCCAAAGUUGAUUCAAUUGAAGUUUCUAACAAGUUGAAAAAACCAGCAGAAGCUCUAUACAUUUCAAAAACCAUGCCAACUUGUCCACCAUGCUCAAAAGUAUUAACAGCAGAAGCCAAUGAACCAGUCAAUAGAGGAACAAAUGCAGCCAAAGAACUAUUGCCUACAAAUGUAGAUCCAAUUGCUGCAAUUCCUGUGAGUAAUGGCCCUGCAAUUGCCAAACUCUUGUUUACCUUCAACGCUAUGUUUCCAAGUCUGUCAUAAUCUUCAGAAUCUUUUCUCUUGAUCACUUCAGCGACUUCCUGCAUUUCCAUUUCUAAUUCUUCACUCCAUCCAUUGUUCAUUUUCCCCAUCUUCUUGCUUUGAGUUUUUACCUUUUUGGAAAUAGGCCACCAAUUAGCAGGUUCAAAUUUUGAAGGGUAUUUUUCAAGCAUUGCUCCCAAUAAAGGAAGAGGGUAUGCUUUAUCAAUUGCCAAAACCUUUUCCAUUGCAUCUUUGACAUCUUCCUCGGUAGGAUUUCCAAUAGCAAUUGUAGUUUUGAUAUGACUUUGAAGUUGCUUGAACAAUCUUGUAGCAUUUCUUUGUUCCUCUGUGAGUUGAGAGGGUUGGAUUUUGUUCAUGAUAAACAAUAAUCCAGUGGCAGCAGAGAAUAAAAGAGCAGAGGACAGUUUCAUAGCCAUAAGUGGUGCACCUUCCCCGUUUGUGACAGCUGCAACACCAGACAUGGUUGUAGCAGUGAGAGUAAUCAUAUUUAUUGAGUUUAAUAGAAGAUUAUUCCAGUUGUUACGUUGUUCGCCAAUGUUGUGAUGCAUUUCUAUUCUGUCUGAUACAGCUUCCAAGACUGCAUAGAGUUGAACUGUAGCAUUAGAAAUUGUAGAAUGCUUUUGUUGUUGAUCUUGUAAUAUUUGUGUGAUGUUGUUGUUUUCUAAUAAUGGAGUAUUUUUGUACUGUUUGAUUACUUUUAGUUCUUGAUCAUCAACUUGUUUUCUAGUUUGUAUCUUUGACAAUGAAAUAUUUGUGAGUUUUGGGAGAUGGAUUGAAGCAUUAAUUACUUUCUUUGAAGAUGAUGAUAAAGAACAAGAAAUUGGAACUGAAGUUUGUAAUAAAGCCAUGAUAUAUAUGAAUUAAUAUUAUUUGAAGGGUGUUUAUAUGAAAGGUUUUAGUUGAAUGUUAAUAUGUGUAAGGUGGUAUGAAUAUUUAUAUAUAUAGCAAAGAACGAAAGAGAAGGGGUCAGAAUGAAACAAAGAAACCCUGAUUGACCAGUUUAAUUGAAAUAGUCUCUGUUCAAAAUUCCCAGCCUUGUCCUUAGUUUGGGUCACACUCAACAUACGACAUAGUAAAAUUAAAACCAUAAUUAAGACUGAACAAUAGUACUGCGUUACAUGCAAGAAAAACGAAACUACGUAGUAGCUUGGUAAUUAGCAUAUAACAAAUUAAAACUAUGGACUUUAUCUCUUCAUUCACCAAUUUAAUCCUUUUACUUUUAAAUUGUCAAUAUAAUCUAUGGCUAAUGCUCCAUUUUAGAAAUGUCUUUUAUUUUGAAGUGUCUUUCAGUUUGGCCACACCAACAUUGUUUUGACUCAACUGGCCAUAUACCAUAGGUCUUAAAAUGUUCAACAUUUAUAAUUUCAUAAAAUUUGAAUUUUCAGUUCGUUGCUAUAUAUCUUCUGUUCGGACUUAAUUUGCUUAAUUAAUUUAUUAUAUAUCAAAUAAAAUUUGAAGACCGGGGAAAAAUAAUAUUUGAAAUCAAUUGAGUAUAUAUUUUUUUUUUGAUCAAGCAAAGAAAUACUAUAAAAGACCUGGAGAGGGCCAGAUCCCUUAACAACAAAGAAGCUUACAUCAAAACAAAAAGAAGGUGCAAAACAUUAUAUCACGGAGAUCUAUAACAAGAAAGACUUGUGCAAAUCGUGAAUGAAAUAAACUAACAAUGAUACUGCUAAAAGAAGAACAACAGAGAAAUGGCAGAAGCUACUAGCUUAACAACCAUGUUCACAAAGAUUUGAACCAACUAUUCAGUAUAUGGCAGGACAGCUUUGGAGGUACCCUUUUGAGCACGGGUCCUCAUUCCGGUUGAGUUGAAGCUAGUAGGCUUCACUUUGUUCGCCUGCUUCUUCUGCUUUUUGCAAUGGAAACAAGCAUGUCAACCUAAAAAGUGCAAAGAGGAUACCAACCUAAAUUUAAAGCAAUCCACUUUCAAAUUCAGAACUGUUGUCAAAUAAAAAACUAUCAACUCACUUGGGUUGAUAGUUACAUGAGAUGAUUCAAGUUUCCUUCGACUUAAUUAAAGGUUUUGGAGUUUGAAAUCCAGCUUUUGUUUUUACAUAUUUCAGCUUUGGAAAUAUAACCACGUUGAAACUCCUAAAGCGGUCUUGUAAUUACUCCUCACUUGAUAGCCGCAUGGAUAUUUGAUUUGUUGGUGUGCAAGUUUGAACCCUACGAUUAUGCACUUCUCCAAAUUCUUCAUCAUUACUAGUAUCAUUGUCUUGUUCGAUUCGUCAUGAAUGGUACCAUUGAUUCGAACGUUCAUGCUUUUUGAUGUAUAAGUUAGUUGUGUACUCAUGUCUCCUAUUAGACAUGCGAAGUUGUUUAUUAUUUCAUUGUUUCGUUUCAUGUUUAUCAUGGACUAUUGUGUGAACUAAUUCAAAACAUUUUAUAUACUAUACGGUCUUUCUUCCUCGGGAGGAUGUUGAUAGUACAAUUGAUAUAAUUGAUACUCAUAUUCAAUAUAGUUGUUGUUGUAACCACGAUCAUAUCCGUCAUGACUCUAUCUCCUAUGGAGAAUCUGAAAAGGAAAUAACUAAAAAGAAGGUUUUAUUUGGCUAGAAAAAGAGGGGUUAGUGGCAAACACAAAUACUAAACUAUAAAAAAAAAAUUAUAAAUACUCAAAACAAUAUAAAUCGUUGUGAUGCUCCAAUAUCUUAAACACAAGUCCCAACAAUGACGCCAUUUGAUGAGUUGUUUCUAUCGAGGCAUCAAAAAUAAGUAUUCAGUUCCCUCAAAAAAAAAGUAUUCAGAGUAUGAAAGUAGGGUUUGUUUGUACAUAUAAGUGGGAUCUUUGCAGUUAAUUAAAAUCGAAAACAAAGAGCAGAAAGAUAAUAUUGUAGGAAUUUUUCUUCGUUAUCUAAUGCCCUUCCUAGAUCGUCGAUUAUAUAUUUCUAAAGUUCAAUUAUGCUUACACAUGUCCCUCAUCAUUUGUUUCCAUGCCUUGCAAACAACGCAAGAUCUGUUAUACAUAUUAACUUAUGAUGUCUCGUUCAGUUAAUCGGUUCAAUGACAUUAAGAUCAUACAUCGAAUGUGAGUGCAAAUUAGCCCUAUGCCGAGCAACUAGCAUUCACAAAUGAAAUUAUUUUAGAUCCCGUAAAUAAAAAGUCGACGUCUCGCACUUUCUAAAUCAAAAUAUUAUUUUUGGAUUGCACGCCAGAGAAAAACAUUAAGAACAAAAAUAAAAUAGAGAUUAUUAUAUUCUAUAUAACUAGCCAGAUCAAGUAUCUACAUCAGAACCAUAACAAUUAGACUUAAUCUCAAUAAUAGAGAUGAUUGAAGAAAAGAGAUUUAAUGUUGAAGUUGAUUCCUCCAUCUCCUUUGCCUUGGCUUUCUCCUUCCAUAUGUGUGUGUGUGUUUCUGAGCUUUUUUAAGAAUGCCAAUAUAUAUCAAAAUAUAGAUAUGAGCCCUUUUUUAUAAAUUAUGACAAUUGACAAGUGAGAAUUUUCUCCACGAGCCAAAAUUCGCUCAGCGGAUUGAACUUUCUUCAGGGUUAAGCCUUUUUCGGCUCAGAAAAUGCCUUUUAAGUAGCCUUAGAUUUGCCUAGCGGAUUCUUGCUUGCCGAACAGGUUUGAAUGGAUUCAAAAUAGUGAAAAAUCUAGGACUUUCUGCUUGGACUCACUUCUAGAUCGCUUUGGCUCGCGUAGUGGAAUUGCUUAAACUUGUAAUUUUUGCUCUUUUCCUUCUCCUUCGCAAUAGAACUCAAAAGACCUAAAAAAAAAAAGGAAAACAAGUAAAAGUAGCUUAUCCAGCAUAAAAGGUAUAAGAACAUAGUAUUUACAUGAAAUUGAAAUUUUUUUCUUGAGAUUACUUGCAAAACAAGUUAAUAAUUGUCAUGAAUAAACAUGUAAUUUAAUAGAAAAUUGGUACUUAUCUGGGCAAAAUGGUACAUAUUUUGAAAAUUUUGUCCUGAUGACAUUAUGACACUGCAUACAUGUACUACAUACUUGACAGUAUUGUAGCAAAGUCUUAAUUUGUAUUCAUAUCCACUCAUGUAUCGUGUGAAAGGAGGAUCUAUCGGUUGAAAUAUAUUUGUGUUGUAUUUGUGCUUGUGACACUCGCGACAAAAUAGCAAAGCUUUUUCUGGAGUGCUUUGAUAGGUGGCGGCCAAGGGGUGCAUGGUGUCAACAUGGUUGGAAUGUCUUGGCUUAUCAUGUAGUACAUUUGCACUUAUUAUGGAAUUAUAUCUUAUUGUUUAAAAGAAAAAUUGUUUUCAAUACUCUCAAUCAAUCAAAGAAUAGUUUUACUUAUGUCUUUCCUAAAUUUAGUAGUUCUCAAAAUCUCCAAAAAUUCAUACAUUGCACUAUUUGGAAGAACUAAAGACCACACAGUUAAGGGACAUAGUUCAUUCAUUUGGCAUAACCACUUGACGAAAAAGAAAUCACUAUUGAGAACUAUUAGUUGAAUCAUCGCCUAACUUUUAACUUCGAUAACAAGAGACUAAAUGAAGCAAAAUAAGGAAAAGAAUAUAGUUAUUAUGAAUUCUCCUACUCAAUUAGAGGAUGAAGUUUGAAAUUAUAUUUGCAAAAUCAGAUCUCUGUUGGCUAUCUUUACAUUUGCUUUCUAUGUCAAAGUACUAACAAUGAAUAUACAUAAAAUAAUGUGAAUUAGGAUCUAUACAUGAAAGAACAAAAUAAUGUGUUAAUAUUGAAGAUUAUCUCAGAAUAGCUUGCUGGAAAAUUCAUCUAUGUCAACACCUUCGAUGCGACAAGAAGCUGAUUUUGUGGCACGUUCCCUCAGCUCUGAUACAUUUCUUCCCAAUUGCAAAGCCAUUUUCAUUUCAAAUAGCUCUCCAUUUUCUCUUUUCUCUAAAUCUUUCUCUCCCAAAGUUGAUUCAAUUGAAGUUUCUAACAAGUUGAAAAACCACCAGAAGCUCUACAUUUCAAAAACCAUGCCAACUUGUCCACCAUGCUCAAAAGUAUUAACUGCAGAAGCCAAUGAACCAGCCAAUAGAGGAACAAAGGCAGCCAAAGAGCCAUUGCCUAUAAAUGUAGAUCCAAUAGCGGCAAUUCCUGUGAGUAAUGGCCCUGCAAUUGCUAAACUCUUGUCUACCUUCAAAGCUAUGUUUCCAAGCCUGUUAUAAUCUUCAGCAUCUUUUCUCUUUAUCACUUCAACAACUUCCUGCAUGUAGAUCCAAUUGCUGCAAUUCCUGUGAGUAAUGGCCCUGCAAUUGCCAAACUCUUGUUUACCUUCAACGCUAUGUUUCCAAGUCUGUCAUAAUCUUCAGAAUCUUUUCUCUUGAUCACUUCAGCGACUUCCUGCAUUUCCAUUUCUAAUUCUUUACUCCAUCCGUUGUUCAUUUUCCCUAUUUUCUUGCUUUGUGUUUUUCCUUUUUUGGAAGGCCACCAAUUAGCAGGAACAAAUUUAGCAGGGUAAUUUUCAAGCAUUGCUCCCAAUAAAGGAAGUGGGUGUGCUUUAUCAUGUGCCAAAACUUUUUCAAUAGCUUCUUUGACAUCUUCUUUAGUAGAAUUUCCAAGAGCAAUUUUUGUUUGGAUUUGACUUUGAAGUUGCUUGAACAAUCUUGUAGUGUUUCAUUGCUCCUCGGCCAAUUGAGAAGGUUGGAUUUUGUUCAUGAUAAGCAACAAUCCGGUGGCUGCAGAAAACAAAAGAGCAGAAGAUAACUUCAAAGCCAAAAGUGAUGAAUCUGAGCAAGUAGUGGGAACAGUAGCAGCAAGACCAGACAUGGUUGUAGCAGUGAGAGUAAUCAUGUUGAUGGAAUUCAAGAGAAGAGUGUUCCAAUUGUUACGUAGUUCACAAAUGUUGUGAUGCAUUUCAAUUCUGUCAGAAACAACUUCCAAGACUGCAUAUUAUUCCUUUCUAAUUGAUCUUUGAAUCCAUUAAAUUCCUCAAUUAGUUGUCUUGUUUUUGAUAAUUGAGAAAUUAGACAAACUUGGGAGUUUUGGAAGAUGGAUAACAGCAUUAACUGUCCUCAAAGAAGAUAAAUUAGCUGCUGCUGAGAAUUGUAUACUAACCAUGUAUUGAUGAGAGAUUAUUUUUCAAAUGAAGAGAGUUUAUGAAAAAUAAUGAAUGGGAGUGGAUGAUAUAUUAUAUAUAUAAUUGACCAUAGAGCAAGGGAAGAGAAUGGAUCAGAAAAUGUGGGAAGAAGUCAUACGUAACCGUAAGAGUAGACUUGGCCUCAUAAUUGACUUCCUCAACAAGCUUGGUUGCAUUGGUUUGUUUCAACAUUGAACAGAGAGGCCACGAAGUAGUAACGCCAACAAACUGCUCCUUCCCACUUGGAUUUCUUUUAUGCAUCAUACUUGAAUUUUAUUUACAUCACUUAUAUUUGUACACCCUCAACAAAAAUUACAUCUGUUCAAAAUCUCGUUACUCAUAUCACAUCACAAACUUAUCAAAAGAGGAUUGCUAUACAUAGCGAUAAAAUCAUCAAGAAGAGAUCACGAACAAUUUGCAACCGUUAGAUCAGGCAAUUUCUAGGAAAACAUGGGCGGGAAAAACUAAAAGGGGUUAUUGCAGCAAUUACUUUCUCACAUAGUGAUUUUAUCGUGACCAAACAAUUCGGGAGAACUAGCAUUUCUCCUUAUCAAAAUUAUCACAUUAGUCUCUUUACUUCUUUCUCUUAUAGAUUGAAGUUCGGAUGUCUAAGAAUCAUUUUCCUUUUAUUUAUUAAACAAUAGAGGAGUCAAUUUUUCUUUUAUUAUAAAAGUAAUGUUAUUCAUUCAAAUUGAAAUAGUAUAUCAUAAAUAAACAUGGAUGUAACAUCCCUAAAAAAAAAAAUCUGCGAACAAAUCAAAGUAAUAGAAAUAUUCAUGCCUAUGAAUCUACAAUAUUGACGAUAUAAUCAUUUAUUGAAGUUUAUAUGUCAAUAUCAACCAAACUAACAUCGUACCAUGACACAACAUCAAACAACAUCGCACCAAGAUGACCACCUUAUCAAUGUUACGCUGAAGUGGCGAAAUCACCAAAAGACACCAAAAAAAAUUAUAGUUUAUGUGAAAACUACUUAUUUAGAACAAGGAAGAAAAAAUAUAUAGAUGAGUGAUUUCAGACAAAAAAAAAUAUAUACAAGAUCACCCCAUUUCCAGUGAACGAAGAAAGAGAAAAUUUAGAGAGAAGAUGAAAUUUAUCUCUCUAAAAAAUUAGGGUCGGUUGUUUCCUUUUAUUUUUAAUUUAAUUAGGGCAUAAUAUUUUAUCAUGACAACGAAUGUAGAGGUGAAUAAUGUUCGAAUUUGACAAGGAGUGGUGUUUGCAUUUACUCGACGUAUUGAACUAGCUCAAGUGGAGAAAACUUCUGGUAAAUCAAAAGAGGUAUGAAUAAGUUUUUGAUACUUAUAAAGUGGUGUUUGCAUUUUGAUUCAAGUCUGUCUGAUAUUUUUUUUAAAAAUUUUGGUCCUCCAAAUAUUUUCCAUCAACACUUUUGUUUUCUAAUUUUAUGUCAGGUCAUGUCACAUGUAUACUUUUCAUAUUUUUGAAUGAGUUUUUUAAAGAAUGUUUGGAAUUAUAAGAAUCUUUUUCAAAAGAAUUAGUUUUUUUUAACAAAACAUGAAUUAAAUAAGAGUUUUUAAGUGUCAAAAACAAAAUAAUUUAAAUACUCAAUAAUUUUUUAAGAGAGAAUUCUUUAAUGAACUGAAUAUGAUUGAAAAAAAAAAUCAAAAUUCUAAAUAAUACACAUGAGUAAACUUAAAAGCAGGGUUCAAUGACUAAAAAUAUUUUAAGGACCAAAUAUUGAAGAAAACUUUUAGAUAGAUUAAAGGCAAAAUUUGAAAAUUUUAAAGAAACUAAAACUUAUUUAACCCAUAAGAAAAAUAUAUCAUAACAUAAUCAUUCAUUUAAAAAAACAUUAACUAUUUUAUGAAGAAAAAAAAAAUCAUAAAUAUAUGAUACAAGAGAAAAAAGGAUUCUAGAUUUUUUUUUUUUUCUUUCAAAUUUUGUUUAGUUUGGUUUUUUUUCAACAAAAUUUUUAUUUAAAAAAAUGAGUAAAUGGUCACUUUGGUCCCUGACUCUGCAUUUCGCGGUCACAAAUGUCCCUGAGUCAAGAUUAAAUACAAAGUAGUCCCUGAAUGUGCACUUCUGUUAUCAGUUUAGUCAUGUUAAAAAACUUAUGUUAACUGAUGAGGCGGCGUGCAUGAGAUGUCACACGGACUAAGUGAAAGAAGAAAUUAGUCACUUUGAUCCCUGAAUCUCAAAUCCCUAAAUCUCUAAAUCCCGAAUUUAAUCCUCAAAUUCUUAAAUCUCUAAAUCUCAUCUAAUUUCCUCUUUGUUCAAUAUCAAUUUCAUUUUUGAGCUGUUGUUAAUCAGUGGAGAUUUGUGGUAAGAAAUGAACAUAGUAAACUCCAAAUCUUUUGUGUUGUCAAUCAAAAGAGUUUAGUUUAUAUGGUGUCGAUUAUUAUAAUUAAUAGUAUGUCUCAUGUCAAAUGUGAUUUUAGUAAAAAAAUCUAUGCAUGUUUCGUAACCGUCAAACAAUUGAGUAUGCCUCCAAACUUUGGCUUAACUAAACAUGAUCAAAAUAGCUUCAACCAUAUCUUAGUUUGUACUAAAACACAUUUAUCAAACAUGCAUGUAAAAACGUACUAAUUAGCUUCAGUGCAUUUUCACUAUAGAAUGAGAGAAAGAUUAUACUUUUUGGAAUUGAUGAGUAAAAUGUGGUGAUUUCUAAUAAACAUUAGAAUUUAGUACAGUCCAUAUAAUUAACAACAACAAAAAAAAAUUCAUUUUGAACAAAAGAGGGAAUUAGAUGAAAUUUAGGGAUUUUAUGAUUAAAUUCGGGAUUUAGGAAUUUGAGAUUCAAUUUCGGAAUAUUGAUUUUCAAUUUAGGGACCAAACGACUAUUUUCCACUUUCAGUUUAAUCUUUGUGACACCUCAUGUACACCACCUCGUAAGUUAAUAGAAGUUUUUAACAUCAGAGACUAAACCGAUUACACAUUCAGAGACUACUUUGUAUUUAAUCCUGAGUCAAUGACCUUUGUGACAGUGAGAUGCGAGUCAUGGACCAAAUUGAUCAUUUGCUAAAAAAAAAUCAUGGGCUCAAACUCGUCACAGACACACAGGUCUAUGAAAGUAUUUACAAGUCUAUCUGAAACUACCCGAGUCUGAAUCUACACGAGUUUGACAGCCAUAGUCUAGCAUUUAUAUUUUUGUCUCUUCUAAGCCAAAUAUUGUUAACAAUAUAUGAUAAAAGAAUGUGGCAAAAAUAAUAAAAUGGCUGGGUCAAAAAAAAAAUAUUAAGAUUACCAUUAAAAUUAUGAUUUUGACAACUUAGAGAAAAACAUGAUAGCAAUAUUAUAUUAAAAAGACAUUUCAAAACUAUAAAUGUCACCAUCUCAUGAGAUUUAAUGUAUUAUUAAUUACGACAUAUGAAAUUAGGUCACAUGUUUUGUGACGGGGAGUAUCAAGCAUGAGCAAGGAAAAGCCUUUGAAUUUUGAUCUCGUAUCGCACGAUGUAAUUUUUGAACGUAUCCAUACAACCGUGUACGAGGUGAAAAUGUUUGAACAGUAAGAGUUGAAUAAUCAAACAAAAUGAAGUCAACCAGUAACACCCAGUCAAAUAGUUUCCUUAUCUGACCCAUUCAUUCUCUUCUUGUUCACACAUCAGUCAUCACCUAUAUAUAUAUAUAUAUAUAUAUAUAUAUAUAUAUAUAUAUAUUACACAACCCACACACAUUUAUUCAACCAUACAAAAUUUCACAAGAAAACCUUAAGAAAUUCAACACACAUAACAAACAUCUACCUAUCUAAUUUCUCAUUAGAUCACAUAUAUGGCUUCUUUACAAGUUUCAUCUAUGCUUUCUUCUUUUUCUUCAGAUCAAAAAAUGAUUAAAUCCUCUUUCAAUGUUCCAAAACUCCCUAAAGCUCUUUCCAUAGUUCCAAAAACAAGACCAAGCAGGAAGCUGUUUGAAGAAUUAAACGGUCAACUCAUACACACAAUCCCAAUAAUGAUUCAAGAAAAUGAUUAUCAUUAUUCACCCAAGUACAAUUCUCCUUCUUCUAAAUCACCAAAAACAAAAACAAAAACCAUUACUCAACUCUAUGCAAUUCUUGAAUCUGUAUCCGACAGAAUAGAAAUGCAUCAAAACAUUGGCGAACAACGCGAUAAUUGGAAUACCCUUCUAUUAAACUCCAUCAACAUGAUCACUCUCACCGCCACCGCCAUGGCAGGUAUAUCAGCCAUAAGCGGCUCCGGUGCUCCUCUUUUAGCCCUCAAAUUAUCUUCCGCACUUUUAUUCUCAGCUUCUACUGGUAUGUUAAUUAUCAUGAACAAAAUCCAACCUUCACAACUUGCUGAGGAGCAAAGAAAUGCAACAAGAUUGUUCAAACAGCUUAAGUCCCAGAUUGAAACAACAAUAGCAAUUGGGAACCCCACAGAGGAAUAUAUAAAGGAUACUAUUCAAGAAGUUCUAGCUCUUGAUAGAGCUUAUCCACUACCUUUGUUAGGAGUUAUGAUUGAAAAAUUCCCUCAAAAAUAUGAACCUGCAAAUUGGAGGCCUACAAAAAAAUCAUCUAGAAGAAGCAACAAUAGUUUUCAUUCAGAAAAUAAUGAAACAAAGAAAAAUGGAUGGAAUGAAGGAUUAGAAAGUGAAGUAAAAGAUGUAUUAGAAGUUAUGAAGAGAAAAGAUAUGGAAGAUUAUGAGAGAUUAGGAAACUUGGUGUUGAAGAUAAAUAAGACAUUGGCUAUUGCAGGACCAUUACUCACUGGAAUUGCAGCUGUGGGGUCCACAUUUGUUGGUCAAGGUUCAUUGGCAUCUAUAGUACCUGUUAUGGCUGGAGCAUUGGCUACUGCUGUUAAUUCUUUUGAGCAUGGUGGACAAGUUGGUAUGGUUUCUGAAAUGUAUAGAGCUUGUGGUGGAUUCUUUCAAAUGAUGGAAAGUUCAAUUCAAGAGAAUAUAUUAGAAGAAGAUGAAGAACAAAGAGAAAAUGGAGAUUUGUUUGAAAUUAAAUUGGCUUUGAAAUUGGGAAGAAGUUUGUCACAAUUAAGAGAUCUUGCUAUAAAAUCAGCUUACUCUCGUGUUGAGGGAACUAUAGUUGAUGAAUUUGCAAGCAAGCUUUUCUAAUUGUUUUUAGUUUACUUUUUUCUUGAUCUAACUUAACAAUUCUUUGAUUCAAUUAUGAUUAUUUCUUACAAAUUCAUUGGUGUCCUUUUGAUUGUUUUUGUUAGGGGUGUUCAUGGAUUGGGUAAAUCCAAAAAACCAUCGAACCCACCCAAAAAAAACCAAAAAAGUGGGUUGGGUUGGGUGAUUGGGUGGAUAUGGUUUUAAAAAAUAAAAAACUCAUAAAAAAUAACGGGUUUUGGGUAAAACCAAACCCAAACCCAAUAAACCCACUUACCCAAUAAUGUUUAUUUUUUUUUUCAUUUUCAUUUUCAUAGGGAGGAAGGAGAAUAACAAAGAUUUUGGUUAUAAUCUUUCUUUAAAAUAAAAUGGUUAUAAACCAAGUCUAACUUCUAAAUUUGACACAAUAAAUCAUCUAUAUUGAAAAUCAAUGUCUAAUUUCUAAAAUUGACACAACACAUCCUCUAUAUUGAAAAUAAAAACAUGUUAGAGUUACAAAUUAUGAUGUUGAACUUUUUAGUUAUUUUGAAGUUAAAGCAAUUUUAUGCCAUCCCACUUUAGUUUGUUGCAAAUAUUUUAUUUUAUGAUGAAAUUUAUUAUUUAAUAUUAUAACUUAUUAUUUUAUAACGUUAAAAUAUAGUGAAAUAGGUUACACAAUUUUAUUAAGAAAAUAAAAAGUUGAGUAAAUUUUAUGAGAAAAAAAUAGGAGGAAGCGUCAUUAGUAUUAACAAAAAAACAAAAAAAAAUAACUUGGGUAACCCACCAUCCAACCCAAACCAAACCGAAAACUAGUGGGUUUGUCCAGACCCACCCAGUAAUAUAACGGAUGGACAUUUUACCUCACCCAAACCGGAGUACUCUAUAUGGUUCGGGUUUUGGGUUUGGUCAAACCCAACCCAAACCCACCCACGUACACCUCUAGUUUUUGUGUACAUUUGCUUGUAUAGAAACUAAAUUUAAUUAACCACCAACCAAUUGUUGUAAUUUUUGUAUAUUUCAAAAGUUUUAUAAUAUAUAUAUAGUUAAUAGAGAAUUAUUAUUAUUUUAUUUAUGAUUAAAAUUAAUAGUUGACUUGGUCUAAUUCUUUUGGCCACAUCAUUUUGACUUGGUUAAAUCUAAGUAUUUAUACUAUCAUUUGUUGCAACCGAAAAUAAUUAAAGGCACGUUAUAUUUUUAGUAUCAAUUGCUUUUAUAUUUGAGAAGUUAAUGCCUACUUUUUCUCACUAUUAAAACUGCCAAUUUCAUCUAUUAACAGGAACGCACGUUUUAGUUUCGAAGAAUUGGCAGUACCAUUUUCUUUUAUAUAAUAAAUAUCUAUAUCCUUUAUUUUACAUGGCAGACUCUCCUGAGUUUAUCAAAUUUAAGUUGUUCUGUCAUCUCUAGUAUGAUUCAUAUCAGAGAAUGAUUCAUAUCAGAGAAGAACAUGUUGUAUCCUAAGAGAAAAUGUGCUUAUGAGGCAGAUGAAUCCUUAACGACAGUGAUCCUAUCACGUCUCAGGUUUAUGUAAUGGUUUACUGUUUUGCAGGUUAUCACUUUCAUGGUUUAGUGUUUGUUUACUUUGAUUUUGCCGAGAUCAAAUUACCUCAAUUAUUUUUAAGAACGGAUGAGUUUACUUGAUAUCCCUCUUGUUUAUUCUCUUCAAUAUUUAAUUCAUGCUUUUAUUUGUAUGAUGAUUAUUAUUUAUAGAGAUAAUUUAUUCCUAUUUUUUACAACACCAAUAUUAUUAUAAUUAUACGUAACAAGUAAGAUUUUUUCGUAUCUAGGUUAAUCAUUGUUAAAAGUCCCACAUCAGUUAGGAGUUGGUCUGACAAUUUAUUUAUAAGUGGGGGCAAUCAUCACCUCACAAACCAGUUUUGUGGGGUUGUGUUAAGCUCAACCACGAUUUCUAAUAAUCACCAACUACUCACUUUUUUUAACGACCAUCAACUACUCAUUAGUCCUCGAUGUCUAGACAUUUUGUACACCAACUAGUUAUUGAUUAUAACUAGUCAUAAUCACUCUUUGGUGUCAAGCCAUUUGGGACCAUUGAGCAUUCACAAUUAGUCUGCUAUUAAUAAGCCUUGGACCGGGUCUCAACACUUCAAUUUUAUAAUUUUAAGAUUUUGUACAUAUAAUCAAUUCAUGCAUAUUUACAAUUUUUAGCAACAAAGUCUGGUUAUAAAGAAAACAUAAAAAUAAAGGAAAGUGUAAGCAAGAAUACAAGUGAUUAAUCACAUAAUUUAUCGUAUGGUGCCUAAGCCUCUAGCAGUAGAGUGGAAAUGAUUUUUUAUUAGAUUUAAUUACACUUUUGGUCCUUGUGUUUUGGCCUACUCACGAAAUUGGUCUUACCUUUUUAAAACAGAACAAAACGGUCUUCAAUUAUCAUUUGUGUUGCAUUUUUCGUCCUACCUCCUAUUUUCAAACUCCAGAAAUGCAGAGAAAUGACAGUUUUAAGCGGUUUUAGACCUACCCUAUGUUCAACCAUGAAAUCAACAAGGAAAUAAAACAUGUGGGUACAAGGAAUCUAUUCUAUCCAGCACACUAACAAAAAAAAAAACCUAAUUUGAAAAAUAUCUUAGAAAUUAGGGUUUUUUUGGUUAGUGUGUUGAAUAAAAUAAAGUGGAUUCUUUGUACCCACAUGCUUUAUUCCUUGUUUAUUUCAUGGUUAAUCAUAGGGGUAGGUCUAAAACUGUCAUUUCUCUGCGUUUUUGGAGAAUAAAAUUGGGGGUAAGACGAAAAAUGCAACAAAAAUGAUAAUUGAAGGACAGUUUUGUUCUAUUUUAAAAGGGCAGGACCAAUUUCGUGAGUAGACCAAAACACAAGAACCAAAAGUGUAAUUAAAUUUUUCUAUUAUUGAUCAUAAUGGCGUAUGUUCACCAUCUUGCUGACGUUUAUAGGAAUAGGACCUUUAACCUUUCAAUGGUGCUACCUGGAAAAUGUCCUUAAAACAUAAACAAUAUUUAUUAGUUGCGUGACUGAUUCUAUUGUGAUAUUUUUCGUUUUUGAAUUCAUGUGAUCAUUGAUGACACUCUGUCAUGUCAUCUCUCUGUUGUUAGUCAUUUUUUAUGUGAAACUCAUUGUAAACAUGGGAGUUGGAAGUUAAAAACAACAGUAAGCAGGAAGUUUGAGAAAAGCAAAAUCGGGCGUUUAAUUUCUUACCAUCGGGCGCCGAUUUCAAGGCACAAGAACCAGUUUGGUUCGACAUUUUUUGGCCACCGAUUUCGCAGGAGUGUGCAGCUGAAAUUUGAAUUCAUGAAGAUUUCGGGGGCCGAUUUUAACACUUCGGGGGCUGAUUUUCGAUGGAUCUAUUUAAGGCAAACACAUUUUCUGAAGAAGGGUUCGAGAUUUUUGAGAAAAAAGACAUAUUUUGAAGCUGAAGCAUUGAAGAUCUGGUGGGAGGCCAUCAAAACUCAUAGUCAGUCCUCCAUUACAUGUGUGAAUCUUGGUUUCGCAUUAGUUAUUUGUACUUUAGCUAUGAGUAACUAAUCUCCUUGUGGUUGAGACUUAGAUGAAACUGGUGUAAUUUUAUGGAGACCUAAUUUGUAUGAACUCUCUUGAAUAUAUCAAUGAAAGUCUAUUUUAAUUUAUUACCUUGUGUUUAAUGUUGUUUAUAUGUUUGUUUAUGAUUGACUACUAGCACUAGCAUCCCGAAUGUGUAAAUUGAUCCUAGAACUUAAAAGACCACUAGCCAUGGUUUUUGAAUAUCUGAUCUAGGAAACAUGUUUAACCUAAGUAAUUAAGCUAGAGAUAGAAAAUUAUUAGGUUAUGAUUUAGGGAUUAACGGAUUGUUAAAGUUUCGAAUUCACUUAAGAGAUUAAUGGUGUAUUUGAAUGGAGAGUUUAGGAGGGGAAGGGAAGGGAGGGUUUACUUUUAAUUUUUAAAUUAAGGACACUAUGAAAUGUUUUUUAAAAAGUUAACAUGAUAAAUGAUCAUAUAAUACUUCAAUCGCACUUAAUUUAUUUUAGAAAAACAUGUUAUAUCGUCUGUACUUUAAAAAUGAAAAGUAAACUCUCCCCUCCCUUUCCCUCCUAAACCCUCAAUCCAAACACGCCUUAAGGGAUUGUCAUUUGCAGACAGGGUUCUAGGUCAAGAGAUUGAGUAGAACCAUUUUAUUAAUCUGUUGUUAAACUAGAAAGACAUUGAUUGAACAGGGGUGCAAAUUACCAAAUAAGAACAUCGGAUGAUUCGAAUGUCUUAACUAUAUUUUUUCAUAAAUUUCUACAACCAAAGCUUUUAUCGGCUUUAAACAAUUUAUGUUACAAAUACCAACCCAACUACUUAGAACAACCUUAAAUUUAAUACAUCCUUUAAAUAAUGAAAUUGUUAAGUAAAAGUAAACAAAAAUCCUCAUAAAUACAAUCUUUAAUAUUACUUCGAUAAUUUUGAUACAUUUACCAAAAUCCUAUCAAUCAUAACAUUUCAUUUGUGUAUCUUUCAACAAGAUGUCAGAUGUUUUGUCGGUUUUAGUGACACCAAAUGUAUAAAUCUUUGAGAAAUGAUAUUUGAACAUCUAUUUUUUGACAAUUUUUGUGACAACUUUCUCUCUCAUACUUACAUUAUACUUUUACUUUCUCUCUCUAUUAUUUUGGUUUUCGUGUCAAUAACUAAUUUCCUUUAUAAAUUUAUGGUUGUUCCAAAAGUUGCCACCAAAAUAAUUGUUCAAAUAACACAUCUAUAAACCUUUCUAUUAAAAUAUGCGUUUCAUCUUAGCCUCGUAUGGGAUACAAACACAGGAAAGAGCAUUCUUUAACUUGGUAAGAUUUGUUUCACAAGUGUCUUGGUCCGACAAUUCUGAGGACUUAAAACAUAUUAAUUUGAUACUUUUCAGCCCUAAGUUGUUCAAUUUGUCGAACUUUUUCUCCUAAUUGGACCAAGUCAACAAGAUGUUGAUUGACCAAUUUUUCUCUAAUGUAAAAAUCUAAACCACCAAUCUACAACCAUUAUGAUGUCUAAACCUUUAUAGGUAAUUGUCGGCAAAAUCGUUACCAAUUCUUUUGAUAUUGUACUAAUCCAUCAAUAUUGGUUAAUGUAACCUUUAGGUCACCUCUGAAGAAUUGGUUAUGGAAACUACAUUCUAUCCAUUGUUGUCAAAAUUCAGAAUUCAAUCUUAAAAUUUAAAAUUUUGCGAUUUUACUUACCUUUAAUGACUCAAAUUCAUAGGAGAAUCUUAAAAUAGGCAAAAUCUUAGUAAAAUCGUAUCAAAAUCCUACAAAAUCCCGAAAUUCAUACAAAAUUGAAGGAUUUUGAAAGAUUUAGUCCACUUUUUUUAGUCAUUUAUGUAUAAAUAUUUUGUGGACUUACCGAGUAAUUUAUGACUAUAUAUAAUUUAUAAUAUAUAGUUAGCAUUAUUUUUGUUUUGGUAUAAUUCAUCGAUUUGUAUUGCGAUUUUACGAUUUUUGAUAUUGAUUCUACAAAAAUAGUUGAGCAAAAUCCUUCGAUUUUGAUUGCGAUUUUAGAAUUUUUGAUUUUUCUAUUCCCUUUCGACCUAAAGCAAAAUCCCGAUUUUGACAACCUUAAUUCUAACCGAGUCCAUGAGUGAAUAGAAUUUCACUUAGGGUGGAUAGCCAUGAGAAUGCAUUCUUGGUUAAAGAACUUGGGAUAAACUCAUUUUAACUAUUGCAAAUUCCCAUAUUUUUGUGGAGAAUUUUGCAAUGUGUUUAAUGAUUGAUUCCCCAAUAUCCCCUAUGAACAUGGCCAAUUUGGGAUAUUUAGCGCCUCUUGGGACUUCAACAUGUGUUGUGCCCUUUUAGAAGAUGGAGAAGUAAAGAACGAAUGAUUAGGAUGUUCCACGUCAAAACCAACCCUAUUGAGACCUAGCUCGACCACUUGAUAACAUUGUGGUCCAUUUGGUUGACUAAAAUGAUGCGCCCUAACGCAUCUACUAAAGGAUUUUGGUGAACAUACAAGUCACUGCUCAAUAACAGUUCACAUUCUCAUAUUGCAAUGGUGGCAAACGAUAAUGGUUAAUGUCGAGAUUGGCAUUUUAGAACUAUGUUUGAACCAUGUCGCUAUUCAUUUGUCUCCUAUGCUCAUUAACAUUCCCAAGAUUCAUGCAUAUGAAUAUGGCAUUUUUCGUCAAUUAGGGGAUAAAUGAUUUUGUUAUCCUGGAGAGUGUUUCCCUAUCCAGGUUGUGUCAAUGCCUAACACUUGGUUCAAUGUGACCACCUAAUCUAGGUGGCCAAAACAGAUCAAGCAUCGUUGUAUUUUCCACAAGCAUUAUCGUACCCGUUGUAUUUACUAUAAGAAAAAUGGGAGUACAUUAUACAAUUCUCUAAAGUUACUCCUCAAACGUUCAACGGUUUUAUUUUCAAAAUAAUUGAAAGAAUUCGUAUGAAAAGAAUGAAUCAAACAAAAAAAAAAUGUUGUUUUCAGAAGAGUUUGUUGGCGAAUUCAUCUAUCUCACGUCCUUCCAUCCGAUAGAGAGCAGAUUUCGAGGCAAAUUCUCUCAUCUCCAUUACACUUCUUCCCAAUUUUAAAGCAAUCUUCAUUUCAAACACUUCCCCGUUUUCUCUUUUAUUCAAAUCUUUAUCUUCAAUAGUUUCUUCAACCGUCUCUUCCAAAAGCUCAAAAAAUCCACUACAGUUUCUAUACAUCUGAAACAUCAUACCAACUUGUUCAAAAGUAUUAGCAACAGUUGUCAUUUAACUUUAUCAGAAAAAUCAUUCUUACAACUUCACCAUAAAAUUUUUUAUUUAUACUAAUAAUUGAGUCAAAACAAUAAUAAUUAUUUGUACUAAUCACGACUAGAAAAGAAGGUGCUAGAUACGUGCUUAUGUCAUAAUCUUGACCAAUUCCUGUUUAAAGUAAUGAAGCCAUAAAUGGAAACCCCAUCCCAUCAUUGGUGUACGUUAAUAUCAAUCAAUUAACAUUCUAAUAAAUGCAUGGCCCUAUAGUACUUUCGCUUCAGUUACAUAUACUAAUGAAAUACAGUAAGACUCAUGUCUCGUAUCGUAUGUUUCUUAUUCUUAAAUACUAUAUUGUGAAUUUGUGACACGCAAGACAACAUGUCAACAUAUAUGUCUCGUGUGUUUGUCUCCUCUGCAUUAGAUUAUUAGGCAUUUCUAACUCAAUAUAUAGGAGGUGAAUGUGUUUUACACAUCUACAAUAUACAAAGCAAACAUCUGCUCCAGAUGCUUCAAAAUUUUGGAUAAAAAAAAAAAGCCUAAAAAAUGUAAUUUAGUUAUAAAUCUUAAUGUUUCAAAUUCUAGCACCACUACUAAAAAACAAAAAUUAGUGAGGGAAAUUUUGUGAGGGAAAACGUGAAAUCCCUCUCUAAUUCCGUCACUAAAUUUUACGAUCAUAAAAUUUGUGAGGAAUUUUAUUUUUUCCGUCACUAAUUUCCCCCGCUAAUUUUGUUUUUUCUAGUAGUGCACAUCAUGCAGAAAAACUCCAUAAGGUUUGAUAUUCAUCAAAGUGAAUAUUGUUGAGUAUGACUCAUAUAUAGAAAUGGAAGAGAGGCAAGGGGCUCACAGUCGUUGUUGUAAUCUAAAUUGUAACUAUAUAUUAGAUUUUUGACUCGUGCUCCGCUUGGGUUUAUUGUAAAGGAUUGACAUACGAAUAAUAAAAUGCAAUAUAUAAUUGGUAACGGUGAAAAAAAAAAGUUGUAAGGUCACUUCUUUCCAUUUGCAAAGCUCUAAAUAUCAAAAUAUAUGAUUUUUGUGUUGUGUGUGAAAAAAAAAAUUGUUGUAAGGUCGCGUCUUUCUAUUUGCAAAGCUCUAAAUAUCAAAAUAUAUGUAUGUCUUAGAAAAUUUUGCUGGAAAAUUCAUCUAUGUCAACACCUUCCAUGCGAUAAGAAGCUGAUUUUGAUGCAAGUUCCCUUAGCUCUGAUACACUUUUUCCCAAUUGCAAAGCCAUCUUCAUUUCAAAUAGCUCUCCAUUUUCUCUUUUCUCUAAAUCUUUCUCUCCCAAAGUUGAUUCAAUUGAAGUUUCUAUCAAGUUGAAAAAACCAGCAGAAGCUCUAUACAUUUCAAAAACCAUGCCAACUUGUCCACCAUGCUCAAAAGUAUUAAUUACAGAAGCCAAUAGAGGAACAAAAGCAGCCAAAGAACUAUUGCCAAUAAAUGUAGAUCCUAUAGCUGCAAUUCCUGAGAGUAAUGGCCCUGCAAUUGCCAAACUCUUGUUUACCUUCAAUGCUAUGUUUCCAAGUCUAUCAUAAUCUUCAACGUCUUUUCUCUUUAUCACUUCAACAACAUCCCUCAUUUCCAUUUCUAAUUCUUCACUCCAUUCGUUCAUUUUUCCUAUUUUAUUGGACGAUUUGUAUUUCUCCAUCUCACCCUUAACAUAUUUCUCACUAGGAUUUCCAAGAGCAAUUGUAGUUUGAAUUUGCCUUUGAAGUUACUUGAACAAUCUUGUGGCAUUCCUUUGUUCUUCUGUGAGUUGAGAGGGUUGGAUUUUGUUCAUGAUAAGCAACAAUCCGUUGGCUGCCGAAAACAGGAGAGCAGAAGAUAGUUUCAGAGCCAAAAGUGGUGCAACUUCCCCACUUGUGACAGCUGCAACACCAGACAUAGUCUUAGCAGUGAGAGUAAUCAUGUUUAUUGAGUUCAAAAGAAGAUUAUUCCAGUUGUUACGUUCGCCAAUGUUGUGAUGCAUUUCUAUUCUGUCUGAUACAGCUUCUAAAACUGUAGAGUUGAAUUGUGGCUUUAGAAUUUGUAGAAUGCUUUUGUUGUUGAUCUUGUAAUAUUUCUGUUUUGUUGAUGUGUUCAUUGUUUUGUAGUUUUAAUUCUUGAUCAACAACUUGUUUUCUGGUUUGAAUAGUUGGCAAUGAAAUAUUUGGGAGUUUUGGAAGAUUAAUUGCAGCAUUAAUUACUCUCUUUGAAGAUGAUAAAGAACAAGAAGUUAGAACUGAAGUUUGUAAUAUUGAAGCCAUGAUAUAUACAAAUUAAUAAUAUUUGAAGAUGUUUGCUUUGUGUUAAUUUAGGAUAGUGUAUAGUUGGGGAAAUAAAAAGGUUUUGGUUUUUUGUAAUAUUGUUUGAAUGUUUUAUAUUUUGUAAGGUGGUAUGCAAUAUUUAUAUGCCAAAGAGAAUGGGAAGGGGUCAAAAUCAAAUAAGGAAACUAUGAUUGACCAAUUGAAUUAAUUAAAAAUUGACAUAGUCUCUGUUCAAAAUUCCAAGCCUUGUGUAUGUUGGGUGGUCUCAACAUGCAACGUUGUACAAAUAAAACCACAAUUAAGGCUGCGUUACAUGCAAGAAUUAUGAAACUAAGUAGUAGCUUGGUAAUUAGCAUGCAACAAAGGCUAUGGACUUUUUCUCUAUUUCAUUUCAUUCACUAAUUUUUUACUUUUCAUUUGUCAUUAUAUAAGCUAUAUAUGGCUAGUGCUCCAUUAGUUUUAGAAAUGUCUUUGAUUUUGAAGUAUCUUUGGGUUUGGUCAUACCAUUUGUCAAUAUAUAAGCCAUCUUCAGCAUUUUAAUUUUAAAAAUUUGAAUAUUCUUCUAUGUGGACUUUUGUUUUGGUAGUCAAAACAAUUAAGAUGCACUCUCAACUAAUGUUCCAUAAUUAAACUUUGAAUCAAAUAGAGAAUCAAGUAUCUACCACUUAUGUUACAUUCUGUUAUUUUAGUUUUUUGGUUGAUUUUUUAUUAUUUCAAUUUAAGAUUUGAAGAAUGAGAAAAUAUAAUUUCAAAUCAAUAUAGAUAUAAAAGGAUUGACUAAAUCUACCAAAAAAAAUAUUGAAUAAUAGAUAAAUGUUUUGGAAUGGAAAAAGACAUGUCAACCUAAAAAGUCUAAAGAGGAUGGAUACCAACCUUAAAGCAACUACUAUCAAUAAAGAUUUGGGGUUGAAUUACUAUAGAAAAGAAAUGUUCAGGGGAAUUGAGUUGUGUUCUUAUGACCAAAGAAUAUUUGUGAAACAAACAUAGACAUAUUAGAGUUUGUUUUUCGUCAGAAAUGGUGGGUAAUUUACCCCAACCAAUACACAUUAGCCACAUAAGUAUAUUUUAAAGUGGUAUCCAUGAACUAUCUUGACCACACCAACAAAUUGCUCAUUUUCAUUGGUUGGCAGGUAAAUUAUCCACCAUUCUUCAAAGAUAAUCUAGAAAAAACCUUUAAAAAAACAUAUAAUCAUCUUUUAAAAAAAAAAAACAUAUAAUCAAUUUAAAUAUUCGGGCAAAUCAUAACAUUCAGAUCUAAUAAAACAUAAUCAAUUUACGUACACACAAAAAGAAAACUGCAAUUUAGCAUCAAACAUUUUAGCGUCAAACCAUUUAUGAUAUUAAUAGCAUAGUAUAUAUUUAGAAUCCACUAAAUCUAACACAAAUGUUUCUUUCUUUCUUUUUUUACGCAUCUUCGCGUCAGUCUUGCGGACGCUAUAAACUAUAAUCGUAAAAGCUAAUUAUUUCUAACGUCUACUAAAUUUGGACGCUAAUUUUCUUAUUGUUUAAAUAGUGUCUAUUAAUUCUUAAGCUAAAAUAUUUUUACCCAAAUUUUUUAACACUUCUAUUUUAACAUAUUCCUUAAUUUUUCCACCAUUAUUCGUACAUUUCCCUCAUUCUUACUAAAAAAAUCUCAACUUUACUCCGACUCAAGCUAAAUUGGGGAAGAAAAGAUAUAUAUCAUGAAUUCUCCUACUCAAUUACAUUAUAUAUGAAGUUAAAAAUUAUAUACAGAAUCAGAUCGCUGUAAUCUAUAUUUACAUUUGUUUUCUAUGUUAUGAAAGAAUUAAAGAAUGUCUAUUGUCUUGAAGAAAUAAUAUCUCAGAAGAGCUUGCUGGCAAAUUCAUCUAUUUCGAUACUUUCCAUGCGACAAGAAGCUGAUUUUGAGGCAAGUUCCCUCAGCUCUGUGACACUUCUUCCCAAUCGCAAAGCCAUUUUCAAUUCAAAUAGCUCUCCAUUUUCUCUUUUCUCUAAAUCUUUCUCUCCCAAAGUUGAUUCAAUUGAAGUUUCUAACAAGUUGAAAAAACCAGCAGAAGCUCUAUACAUUUCAAAAACCAUGCCAACUUGUCCACCAUGCUCAAAAGUAUUAACAGCAGAAGCCAAUGAACCAGUCAAUAGAGGAACAAAUGCAGCCAAAGAACUAUUGCCUACAAAUGUAGAUCCAAUUGCUGCAAUUCCUGUGAGUAAUGGCCCUGCAAUUGCCAAACUCUUGUUUACCUUCAACGCUAUGUUUCCAAGUCUGUCAUAAUCUUCAGAAUCUUUUCUCUUGAUCACUUCAGCGACUUCCUGCAUUUCCAUUUCUAAUUCUUCACUCCAUCCAUUGUUCAUUUUCCCCAUCUUCUUGCUUUGAGUUUUUACCUUUUUGGAAAUAGGCCACCAAUUAGCAGGUUCAAAUUUUGAAGGGUAUUUUUCAAGCAUUGCUCCCAAUAAAGGAAGAGGGUAUGCUUUAUCAAUUGCCAAAACCUUUUCCAUUGCAUCUUUGACAUCUUCCUCGGUAGGAUUUCCAAUAGCAAUUGUAGUUUUGAUAUGACUUUGAAGUUGCUUGAACAAUCUUGUAGCAUUUCUUUGUUCCUCUGUGAGUUGAGAGGGUUGGAUUUUGUUCAUGAUAAACAAUAAUCCAGUGGCAGCAGAGAAUAAAAGAGCAGAGGACAGUUUCAUAGCCAUAAGUGGUGCACCUUCCCCGUUUGUGACAGCUGCAACACCAGACAUGGUUGUAGCAGUGAGAGUAAUCAUAUUUAUUGAGUUUAAUAGAAGAUUAUUCCAGUUGUUACGUUGUUCGCCAAUGUUGUGAUGCAUUUCUAUUCUGUCUGAUACAGCUUCCAAGACUGCAUAGAGUUGAACUGUAGCAUU
rnacentral:lncRNA from 1 species